UGCUAUACAUGCAGUCGAGCGAACGGAUAGGGAGCUUGCUCUCUUUAAGUUAGCGGCGGACCCGUUAAUAACACGUGGGCAACCUGCCCUUAAGAUUGGGAUAACUCCGGGAAACCGGGGCUAAUACCGGAUAAUUUUUUUUACUUCAUGGUUAAAAAAUGAAAGGCGGUUUCGGCUGUCACUUAUAGAUGGGCCCGCGGCGCAUUAACUAGUUGGUGAGGUAACGGCUCACCAAGGCAACGAUGCGUAACCCAACUGAGAGGGUGAUCGGCCACACUGGGACUGAAACACCGCCCAAACUCCUACGGGAGGCAACAAUAGGGAAUCUUCCACAAUGGGCGAAAGCCUGAAGGAACAACCCCGCGUGAGUGAAGAAGGUUUUCGGAUCGUAAAACUCUGUUGUUAGGGAAAAACAAGUGCUAUUUUAACUGGCUGGACCCUUGACGGUACUUAAUAAAAAAGCCACGGUUAAUUACUUGCCACCACCCGCGGAAAUACUUAGGGGGAAAGCUUUUUCCGAAAUUAUGGGCCGAAAAGCCGGCGCAGGUGGUUUUUUAAUUUUAAUGUGAAACCCCCCGGUUCACCCGGGAAGGGUCUUUGAAAAUUGGGGAAUUUGAUUGAAAAAAAGAAAAGGGAAUUUCCAUGUGUACCGUUAAAUUGCUAAAAAAUUUGAAGAACCACCAUGGGCAAAGGCAAUUUUCUGGUCUGUAACUGACGCUGAGGGGCGAAAGCGUGGGGAGCAAACAGGAUUAGAUACCCUGGUAGUCCACCCCGUAAACGAUGAGUGUUAAGUGUUAGGGGGUUUUCCCCCCUUAGUGCUGCAGUUAACGCAUUAAGCACUCCCCCUGGGGAGUACGGUCGCAAGACUGAAAAUCAAAGGAAUUGACGGGGGCCCCCCCAAGCGGUGGAGCAUGUGGUUUAAUUUGAAGCAACGCGAAGAACCUUUCCAGGUCUUGACAUCCCUUUGACCACUGUAGAGAUAUGGUUUUCCCUUCGGGGACAACGGUGCCAGGUGGUGCAUGGUUGUCUUCAGCUCGUGUCGUGAGAUGUUGGGUUAAUUCCCGCAACGAGCGCAACCCUUGUUUUUAGUUGCCAUCAUUAAGUUGGCCAUUUUAAGGUGACUCCCGGUGCCAACCCGGAGGAAGGUGGGGAUGACGUCAAAUCAUCAUGCCCCUUAUGACUUGGGCUCCACACGUGUUCCAAUGGACGAUCCAAACGGUUGCCAACUCGCGAGAGGGAGUUAAUCCGAUAAAGUCGUUCUCAGUUCGGAUUGUAGGCUGCAAUUCGCUUCCAUGAAGCCGGAAUCGUUAGUAAUCGCGGAUCACCAUGCGGCGGUGAAUACGUUCCCGGCCCUUGUCCCCACCCCCCUUAACGCCACGAGAGUUUGUACCACCCGAAGUCGUUGGGGUAACCUUUUGAGCCAGCC
rnacentral:rRNA from 1 species